rnacentral:snRNA from 1 species
GUACUUGCUUUGGCAAUACAUAUAUACCCAAAUUGGAAUGAUACAGAGAUUAGCAUGGCCCCUGUGCAAGGAUGACACACACUUGUGCAGCAUUCUACUAAAGAAAAA